GUCCUGGAGUUGUUUUUUUUUUCUUAAGUGUAAACUUUGCCUAGUAAUGACGUAAGUGCUUUCUAAAUGGAGAUUUACACAUCACUUAAACAGAGUUGCACCACACAAACAAGUUCUAUUUUGUAUGUGCUUCGCCCUCUAAUGGGCUUCGCUGUUGGUUUACCCCAUCAGGCUCCACCCCUGAGACAGAUCUUUGUACUCACCGCCCAAUCAGGUGGUGGCAUGCAUGCCUGAUAAAACACAGGCACACCUGUCACUGGGCUCCCUGUUUCAUUCAGCCACCUUGAGUACAGACACAGCACUCAGCUAAAACUUGGUUGCUCAGAUGUCCCUUUCAGCAAGUCCUGUUGAAAUUUCUCAUUACCUGUUUAGCCUGCUCGCUCCCUCUGCCUAGCUCGGCGCUGGGGAGGGAGGCAGCAGUGGCUAACUAGCCAUGGUUAGCCAUGGUACUAGUACCACGAGGAAGAUGACCAGCACGUCUGUGAGGAAGUUCCUUCGUUCCCGCUGCCUCUUCGACGACAUACCGCACACUUCUGCUAACUGCUAUGCUAGUGCCGCUCAGGAUUCAUCACUAGCUGGCCAGCUCUAGCUACAUCAUGACUUGCUAGCAUUUGCCAAUCUGGCUUAGCACUAGCUAGCAAGCUUCUUCCCUCACUGGCUUGCUCGACAGCGGUCAAGGUUUUCACCAUCAGGACCGAGCAGGAUGCGUGCAGCCCAUGCCGGCUUCAGACUCUUCUGCUGGGCUUGUUGACUUUGAAGGAACAUAAGCGGCUGUGUUUUUCAUUUGUAAUACAUGUGCUGAUGAGAGGCACCCCACCCAGGAUGUGGUUGCUUUAUCGCUCCCUGAAUUGGGGGGAGAGUGUCAGAUGCUUGCGGUCUCCCCCAGCCUCAAUCUCCCCUUCCCACAUGCCUCAUUUCACCAGUAAAGAGCAAGCUAAGCACUUCCACAUUGCUACACUGAUACACAGGCUGUUUCAGAUGCAUGUGUUAUGUUGUUAGAGGCACCCCACCGGGGAACAGGGUUGCUUCUGUCUCACCCCAGGUGAGGUGAAUAAAGAGAAGGUGAUGUCUGAUGCUCGUUCUUCCCUGGCCUCUCAUUUUUAUGUUUUUUUCUGCCAUACCUUCCACUUGUUCACCGCUCUGGGUGCACAGGAACGUGCAACAUUGCCUCUCAGUGAAGUGUUAUUUGGAGAGGCAGCCCACUUGGGAUGGGGUGACUUCUCCUCUCCCCAUCUCAUGUGAGGUGGAGAAGAGAAAGAAAGCUUGGACACAUCACCGUGGCUGAGUUUUUUUUCUCCAUGAUCGCUGCGUGCUACCAUGCCAGCCCACGCGCUGGGUGAUAGCUCAGGUUCUCCUGUGAUGGACUGAGUUUAUCACUGACGUGUAGCAUUUACUGUUCCCAUACCGACGAGGAUGUGGCACAAGGUGACUAAUUUUCUCCUACCAUUUCCAUUAUUACCCUCCACCUUCACUUGUGCCCCUAACUGUGCCAGGCUCACAGGAGCACACAUCUGGACUCCCACACGGGUAAUAGGGGAUGAUUCUUCCCCAGUCCACAGUCACGGAAAGCUUCAUCACCGAAGCGCGGCGUCCAUUUUCCGGUUAACUUUCUCCCAUAUUGGAGAGGAGGUGACAUAAAGGCGAGCCAUUUUUUCCCUGUCAUCAGUUGCCAAACUCAAAAGGGAGCCGAGCGACGGGUGCGCCGCUGUUUCAUAGGGCAUGUAUGUUACCACCUGACUGGGUGGUGAGGGCAAACAUCUGUCUCAGGGUGCUGAGGCUCCCCUUGAAGGGGUAAACCAAAAGUGAAGCCUGUUACGCACGUACUCAUAGAACUGGAGUUACAUCCAGGUAUUAUUUCUUACGUAGAGAUUAGUUGUUACUAAAUAUUCACACACCCAGUAACUGCCAGAUGUAACUGUUACUAAACGGAACUAACUGACAAAGCUAAUAUAUAAUGUUAAAAUUUAAGAGUAAAAUAAAUAACUUGAUUAAAAGGCUGUUUAAUAAAGAUUACUGGGGACAUUUAAAAUAGUAUUUCACAAAAAGAACACAAUAUCCCUCAAAUUACAAAACAUUAAAUCACAGAAUGUUAGACUAGUGUGGACUGAAAUGACUGAACCUUAACCUAAUGUUGGUUAGGUUAGCUUAAUUGGAUAUUUCCCAUUCAUUGCAUGAAUACUACUGAUUCUGAGACACAUAAUUCUGCAUUUAUACAUAAAAGUAAUACCAACAUUUAAAUGGGAUUGGCUGUUCAGUUAUAAUCUAUUGUUUGCCCUCCUAAAACUGUUAAUUAAGUUAUAGCUUGUGAUGCUACAGUGACUUCUUGUUUACAUAGUUUGAUUGGACAGUGCUACGGAUGUUUCCUAGCAACCGAUUUACACAUUACUAUAGACUUUACUAGCUAAGUACUAGUUAAUUUCUAAAUUUAGUAACCCACUAGUUUGAAACUAGCUAGCUGUUACUAAGAACUUAGGAAGGACUUUCCACACAAACCUGCCACUGGAUUUAUCAAUAGCUGGCACAACCCACUCCUAAUGUGAAAUUUUAUAUACAAAGUUAUGACAUGACCAAUAAGAACCAUAAUCACAAUGAUGAUUUACCCUGACAUGACCUCAAACAUAUUCCAAUAAACAACUGAGAUCUCUAAAGGAAGUUUAUAUGCAGGUUCUAUUAUUUUUCCAGCCAAAACACAUAAAACCAAAGCUAUUAUUCUUUUUUAACAGUGUUCAGCUACAGUCCUGUCCAGACUGCACAGUGGCCUACCUUUUUAGCGCUCCACUAUCAAUGAUUUACUAACAUCGUGCUAAGAUUACAGCUGCCUCCUCCUUCACCCAAACCUCCAGUAAACUCCUCCCUAAAAACCCCCCACUGUACAACAGAAGGCUGCACCCUCCUGCAGCGACCCCUAUCCAUUAAAGAAUGACUUUUGAACCAAGAUGUCACCACCACAGUACAAGUUGUGGCACUUGACCUUAUGAAAGAGGUAACGAAGGCUGAUGUGCGCCAUGUAGAAUGAAAACUGCCAUAUUUGAGCCCCUCAGGCUGAAAGCUUCUUUCUCCCCGAGCCAAGUAACUAACAAGAAGCAAGUGGAACACAUUCCUGUGUGAUGCAAGGAUGGUUGUAAAAGUUUGCAUGAAAGUCCUUUGCAGUGUUGGAGAGGUGCUUUUGCUGUGGGAUCCAUGAACUUACAGUCCAUUAUGUGUAAGGUUUCUCUCCUGGUAUAGCCACUCAACAUUAUGAGGAUGGCAAACACCAGUAGAAACAAAAAUUUAAAUUCUCUCUUAACAGACUCUGUUCUUCUGUAGCUUAACUCAGUUUGAUCCUGAUUACUGUGGAUUUAUGCCAUAAAGAUUUAACAUUACAUUACAUUCAUUUGGCAGACAUUUUUGUGUGACUUACAGUAAGUGUAUUCAAACCAUGUAGGGGCAAGAGCUACACAUCAUCCAAAAUUGGGAGUGUAUUCCUUUUAAACGAAAAACUAAGGCAUGUUCAGUGUUACUGUACAAGUGCUUAGAGAUUCUUUUUUUUUUUAUAAGCCUAGAAAACAUUGUUAGUCAAUUGCAGUUUAAAUAUAUCAGCAAGAAAAAAUGUGUCAAAAGUUAUUUCCUCAACACAGCUCUCUCCCCUUUUCUCACUUAAUCACUCACUUCUUAUUUAAACACAAAAUUGUAAAUUAGGCACCUCCAUAGCUGUUAUUACGCACCACAUCUACACAUGCAAUAAUAUCUCAACUUUCACCCAAGUUCAAAACCUUUGUGCAGCUCAGGAAUCCCUACACUGUGAGCAGUAUUACUUUGCAAUUUGAAACACGAGGCUUCACAGAUGCAGUGUGGACACCCCACAUCCUCGCCAUGGGAGGUGGACACAUGGGAUUGCCAGACAGGGUGAUCAUGUAUGAUGGGACAUGUUUGUCAUGAAGACCUGUGUGGACCAUAGAAACACACUGACAAGGCUCUGAUGGAGCUGAGUGGGCUAAUAUCCCACCAAGUGGACAGACACAAAGUUAUAGAAAAUAUCCACAAUGAACCUACAGUGAUAGGCCACUAUUGACGACCUCAAGUAUGCUCCACUGAGAGUGGAAAGGGUUUGCUGUAAGAAGAAGAUACACACAUGUACAUGCAAACUUGUUUCACUAUCCAUCUUGGGCCAAUAUG